AUUGAACGCUGGCGGUAUGCUUAACACAUGCAAGUCGAACGGUAACAGGUCUUCGGGCGCUGACGAGUGGCGGACGGGUGAGUAACGCGUAGGAAUCUGCCUUAUAGUGGGGGACAACGUGGGGAAACCCACGCUAAUACCGCAUACGCCCUACGGGGGAAAGCGGGGGAUCGUAAGACCUCGCGCUAUGAGAUGAGCCUAAGUCCGAUUAGCUAGUUGGUAGGGUAAAGGCCUACCAAGGCGACGAUCGGUAGCUGGUCUGAGAGGAUGAUCAGCCACACUGGGACUGAGACACGGCCCAGACUCCUACGGGUGGCUG
rnacentral:rRNA from 1 species